rnacentral:lncRNA from 1 species
UUCGGGGAUGUAAAGUAAGGCUAAAUUUUGCUUAGGGGUUAAGUGGAUAUAGUAAAUAGGUGAGGGGAGUAAAAUGAAAGUACAAAACACAUGCAGUUAGUUCUACACAAAGAUUAGAAUGUUGAUCAAAUGAUCUCAUUGCAUUUCUUUUAAAGAGAUGUUUUAUUUGUGGGCCCAUUUAUAUAGCAAGGGAAAGGAAGCAAAGAGGACAAAGUUUUACGGAGUUUAAUCAUACGGCCCCCACUCUGCGGUCAGCGCAUACGGCGUAAGCUGGUAAGCAACAAACCUAAAACCGCAACCCCACUCUCAAUGAAUUCCUGGAUAAUUACUGUUUCGGCGGUAUCCAGUGAGCAGUUCCUAAUGCCCAUGGGCAAAAGCCAGAAUACAGCAUCACCAGUGUUACCUCCUUUGCAGAUUUUCAGUAUAGGGUCAACUUUAUUAUUUUAGUGAACAUGACCUCAUUAAACCAUAGUUUGUGAUUUUGAU